AUGGUAUGGCUCUUACUGUGAUAUUUAGGGAGUCUGGAGUGUGCUUUGAAGGGGAGGUUGUUUGUAGGUUAUUGAACACUGAUACCUACAACGACCACUCCCUUUGAUGCAUGAGUUUUAUCAGAGUGGAUGGUCGUUGGACUAAAGACCGAGGGGCUACAGUCGAGGAAGAGGAGGAUGAGGAGGAGCGUGCUGAGGGGGA
rnacentral:lncRNA from 1 species